GUCUCUCUCCCGAAAAUCUGUGUGGCCAUUCAUCAUAGGCCUCCUCUUGGAAAGGCAAAGAAGGUUGCAUUAUACUAGACAGGGUUGUCUCUCUGGGUGGAAAAAGGCAGUGUGUUCGUGGAGUGCAGCUGCAUUUCAAAGGCUGAGAUGCUGGGACAGCUGGAAGAUGCA